AAUAUUCCUCGAUAUCAAAAAAAGGCACAAACCGCUAAUAAUAAUAACACAAGCUCCUGGAAACACAUUGUUAUACUCAUUCAUUACAGCUGCAGUGCUGGUGGUACUCAUUCAUUACAGCUGCAGUGGUGGUGGUACUCAUUCAUUACAGCUGCAGUGCUGGUUGUACUCAUUCAUUACAGCUGCAGUGCAGGUUGUACUCAUUCAUUACAGCUGCAGUGCAGGUUGUACUCAUUCAUUACAGCUGCAGUGCAGGUUGUACUCAUUCAUUACAGCUGCAGUGCUGGUUGUACUCAUUCAUUACAGCUGCAGUGCAGGUUGUACUCAUUCAUUACAGCUGCAGUGCUGGUUGUACUCAUUCAUUACAGCUGCAGUGCAGGUUGUACUCAUUCAUUACAGCUGCAGUGGUGGUGGUACUCAUUCAUUACAGCUGCAGUGCAGGUUGUACUCAUUCAUUACAGCUGCAGUGGUGGUGGUACUCAUUCAUUACAGCUGCAGUGCUGGUUGUACUCAUUCAUUACAGUGGUUGUACUCAUUCAUUACAGCUGCAGUGCUGGUUGUACUCAAUUAUUACAGCUGCAGUGUUGGUUGUACUCAUUCAUUACAGUGGUUGUACUCAUUCAUUACAGCUGCAGUGCUGGUUGUACUCAUUCAUUACAGCUGCAGUGGUGGUUGUACUCAUUCAUUACAGCUGCAGUGCUGGUUGUACUCAUUAAUUACAGCUGCAGUGCUGGUUGUACUCAUUCAUUACAGCUGCAGUGCUGGUUGUACUCAUUCAUUACAGCUGCAGUGCUGGUUGUACUCAUUCAUUACAGCUGCAGUGCAGGUUGUACUCAUUCAUUACAGCUGCAGUGCUGGUUGUACUCAUUCAUUACAGCUGCAGUGCUGGUUGUACUCAUUCAUACAGCUGCAGUGCUGGUUGUACUCAUUCAUUACAGCUGCAGUGCAGGUUGUACUCAUUCAUUACAGCUGCAGUGGUGGUUGUACUCAUUCAUUACAGCUGCAGUGCAGGUUGUACUCAUUCAUUACAGCUGCAGUGCAGGUUGUACUCAUUCAUUACAGCUGCAGUGCUGGUUGUACUCAUUCAUUACAGCUGCAGUGCAGGUUGUACUCAUUCAUUACAGCUGCAGUGCUGGUUGUACUCAUUCAUUACAGCUGCAGUGCUGGUUGUACUCAUUCAUUACAGCUGCAGUGCUGGUUGUACUCAUUCAUUACAGCUGCAGUGCUGGUUGUACUCAUUCAUUACAGCUACAGUGGUGGUUAUACUCAUUAAUUACAGCUGCAGUGCAGGUUGUACUCAUUCAUUACAGCUGCAGUGGUGGUUGUACUCAUUCAUUACAGCUGCAGUGCAGGUUGUACUCAAUCAUUACAGUGGUUGUACUCAUUCAUUACAGCUGCAUUGCUGGUUGUACUCGUUCAUUACAGUGA
rnacentral:lncRNA from 1 species